rnacentral:lncRNA from 1 species
CACACAUCCAUACAGUCCACACCAUCACACACACACACACACAUAUCUGUACAGUCCACACCUUCACACAUCCAUACAGUCCACACCGUCAUACACACACACAUCUAUACAGUCCACACCGUCACACAUCCGUACAGUCCACACCGUCAUACAAACACACAUCUAUACAGUCCACACCGUCACACAUCCGUACAGUCCACACCGUCAUACAAACACACACACAUCUAUACAGUCCACAUCGUCACACAUCCAUACAGUUCACACCAUCAUACACACAUCUAUACAGUCCACACCAUCACAUGCACACACAUCUAUAUGGUCUACACCAUCACACACACACACAUCUAUACAGUCCACACUGUUACAUGCACACAUCUAUACAGUCCACACCGUCACAUAUCUAUACAGUCCACACCGUCAUACACACACACAUCUAUACAGUCCACACCGUCACACAUCCAUACAGUCCACACCGUCAUACAAACACACACACAUCUAUACAGUCCACACCGUCACACAUCUAUACAGUCCACACCGUCAUACACACACACAUCUCUACAGUCCACACCAUCACAUACACACACACAUCUAUAUGGUCUACACCGUCACACACACACAUCUAUACAGUCCACACCGUCGUACACACACGCCCACACCCGCAUGCCCACACAUCCAUACAGUCCACAUUCACGUAUGCCCAUAUGCAUCCAUUCACACGUGUGUACACAUGCUCACACACAUUCAUAGACUCCACACAUGCACACGUGCGCACACACGCACAUGCUCGCACACAUGCACAGAUACACUCACGUCCACACACGCUCAAACAUGCGUGCACACCCGGAGGUGCCCAGAGGGGCAGGGUGGG